rnacentral:rRNA from 1 species
CAGCCCACGGGAAUACGAAGGGUGCAAGCGUUACUCGGAAUUACUGGGCGUAAAGCGUGCGUAGGUGGUGGUUUAAGUCCGUUGUGAAAGCCCUGGGCUCAACCUGGGAAUUGCAGUGGAUACUGGGUCACUAGAGUGUGGUAGAGGAUAGUGGAAUUUCCGGUGUAGCAGUGAAAUGCGUAGAGAUCGGAAGGAACAUCUGUGGCGAAGGCGACUAUCUGGGCCAACACUGACACUGAGGCACGAAAGCGUGGGGAGCAAACAGGAUUAGAUACCCCAGUAGUCCCUGUCUCUUAUACAC